AGCAGAUGGCAGAUACGCCGGACCGAACACAGAAACUGUAGCUCCGAGGAGAGGCUGGGCUGUAGUGGACUGCCAACCAAGGCCUGCUGCCGGUGUCAAGCAGCUCAUCAUAAAUCUUCCCCAGACUGGUGGGGAUGGGGGGGGAGAGUUGAACUAUCAAGAGAUAGCUUAUAUCAUUGGUAGAUUAGGAAAGAGUGACGGAGAGGGGCUUUGUGGCCCCACUGAGACAAGUGUGUGUGAGACAGCGAAGGUUACUCAAGGACAGCACACACACAGGCGUCACUGUCUUGUAAUCAAUCAUGGGCCUGGAGUGGACAUGGCCAGGCGCGGAUGAUGAUGAUCGAACUACAGUAUCACUUUGGCGAAAUGAACCCUGGGAAUGAAAUCAGCCUCAGUGCCAGGGCGGAUCAUUAAGCUGUGGAAUCAAAGACGUCUCCAUCCGCUCCAGGCAGAUAGGCCCAUCCCCAGACCGACACACCUGAAACACCACUCCCGUGACAAACAUUGAUCAAGAGGUGCAGGUGGUUGGGAUGAUUGGACCAGAACAUGCCUCCACUGGAAAGCAACUUCUUCUGAGCUGACUAGAGUCUCCAAAAGCAAAAUUUCCCACAACAAGACCUUUGAUUCGCUGUCAUUUAAAGACACAAGUUACAUAUAAAAUUCAAUAUUAUUGCAAUAAAGCACUUUAAAUCAGG
ensembl:lncRNA